CCCCACGAGAAAGCGUGUCAAAGCAAUCCUACUACAACUACUGACUCACCGUCCUUACUUCUCGAUAAUGUUAACGAUAUCAUUAUAAGCUUAGCAGUAAAAGGGCUCUGGCCCGGAUGAAAUUUCUAACACCAGACUUGUAUCAUUCUAGAUUCGGUCUUUCUUGACUUUUGGGAGUUCGUAACAGCCAUACUUUUUACCAAAACAUAUCGCCCUCCCAGUGCAUAGUUGACUGUAGUCCAUUAGAGAGAAUUGGAAUUCUAGAAAAAAUUAUUCCACUAUACUUCAGCUCCUUCAUAUUGUUAAAAAUGUUACGAGAAAAUUUUAAUUAAUAGAGCAGCAAGUCAGUCUUACUGGAUGUUGAAAGGUUUUAGGCAGUA